UUGGACGAGCCCGGGGUCAAUGGUAGUGGAUGAAUGACACCCCUCAAACUAAGGCUGAUAAGGCACCCCGGAAGUUGAUGCAACCUUGAGAAAAGAAGUCGGACACAUUUUGGGGACACCGGACCAAGAAAGCGGUAUGGAAAGACCAAGUCAGGAAAGAACCACAUAACACGAAGAGACUUCAGAGCUUGCAAGCUAACCAACAUGGUGAGAUCACAAAAAGCCAAACACGAAAUAUCAACAUGAGAGUUCAGCCAGGUAUGACUUUAUCACUCUGAUUUUGCGUAUGUUCUGUUGACACGUCACAACAUGACAACACACACUGAGGCAAGUUGUUUGUUUAGCCAGGGCCUUUCUAGCCAUCCCUAUAUGUAUGUUUCCCUUCGUAAACCCCGUUGAGCCUUAGCCAUUUUAUUCAUUGUAAACCCCAUGUUAACGUUUAA
rnacentral:lncRNA from 1 species